CGAUGGGAAACGGGUUAAUAUUCCCGUACUUCUUACAAUUGCGAUGGGGGGACGGAGAAGGCUAGGUGGGCCUGGCGACGGUUGUCCAGGUUCAAGUGCGUAGGCUUAAGAGUUAGGUAAAUCCGGCUCUUUUUAAGGCAGAGACACGACGUCGAGCACCUACGGGUGUGAAGUCAUUGAUGCCAUGCUUCCAGGAAAAGCCUCUAAGCUUCAGAUUGUAAGGAAUCGUACCCCAAACCGACACAGGUGGUCGGGUAGAGAAUACCAAGGCGCUUGAGAGAACUCGGGUGAAGGAACUAGGCAAAAUGGUACCGUAACUUCGGGAGAAGGUACGCUCUUGAUGGUGAAGUCCCUUGCGGAUGGAGCUGACGAGAGUCGCAGAUACCAGGUGGCUGCAACUGUUUAUUAAAAACACAGCACUGUGCAAAAUCGUAAGAUGACGUAUACGGUGUGACGCCUGCCCGGUGCCGGAAGGUUAAUUGAUGGGGUUAGACUUCGGUCGAAGCUCUUGAUCGAAGCCCCGGUAAACGGCGGCCGUAACUAUAACGGUCCUAAGGUAGCGAAAUUCCUUGUCGGGUAAGUUCCGACCUGCACGAAUGGCGUAAUGAUGGCCACGCUGUCUCCACCCGAGACUCAGUGAAAUUGAAAUCGCUGUGAAGAUGCAGUGUACCCGCGGCUAGACGGAAAG
rnacentral:rRNA from 1 species